GACGAACGCUGGCGGCGUGCUUAACACAUGCAAGUCGAACGGAAAGGCCCUGCUUGCAGGGUGCUCUAGUGGCGCACGGGUGAGUAACACGUGGGUGAUCUGCCCUGCACUUCGGGAUAAGACUGGGAAACUGGGGCUAAUACAGGAUAGGAGCCAUCUUUAGUGUGGUGGUUGGAAAGUUUUUUCGGUGUAGGAUGAGCUCGCGGCCUAUCAGCUUGUUGGUGGGGUAAUGGCCUACCAAGGCGGGCACGGGUAGCCGGCCUGCGAGGGGGUACGGCCACAUAUGGGCUGAGAGACGGCGCAGACUCCUACGGGGGGCAGCAGUGGGGAAUAUUGCACAAUGGGGGCAAGCCUGAGGCAGCGACGCCGCGUGGGGGAGGUAGGCCUUCGGGUUGUAAACUCCUUUCGCGAGGGACGAAGCGUUUUUGUGACGGUAACUAGAUAAGAAGCACCGGCUAACUACGUG
rnacentral:rRNA from 1 species